rnacentral:rRNA from 1 species
AUUGAACGCUGGCGGCAUGCCUUACACAUGCAAGUCGAACGGCAGCAUGGAAGAGCUUGCUCUUCUGAUGGCGAGUGGCGAACGGGUGAGUAAAGCAUCGGAACGUACCGUGUAGUGGGGGAUAACGUAGCGAAAGUUACGCUAAUACCGCAUACGCACUGAGGUGGAAAGCAGGGGAUCGCAAGACCUUGCGCUAUACGAGCGGCCGAUGUCAGAUUAGCUAGUUGGUAGGGUAAAGGCCUACCAAGGCGACGAUCUGUAGCGGGUCUGAGAGGAUGAUCCGCCACACUGGGACUGAGACACGGCCCAGACUCCUACGGGAGGCAGCAGUGGGGAAUUUUGGACAAUGGGGGAAACCCUGAUCCAGCCAUGCCGCGUGAGUGAAGAAGGCCUUCGGGUUGUAAAGCUCUUUCGGCUGGGAAGAAAUCGCACAGGCUAAUACUCUGUGUGGAUGACGGUACCAGCACAAGAAGCACCGGCUAACUACGUGCCAGCCGCCGCAGUAAGAC